UGGGAUUUAGCUCAGUGGCAUAAGCAUCUGCCUUGCAAGCAGGUGCUCAUGAAUUCAAUCCCAG
rfam:Cavia porcellus supercont2_12 genomic scaffold, whole genome shotgun sequence.